CCCAAACCUCCUCUCAAACGAAGCUCUCUUCCCCCAAAAAAACAAAACCCUAGCAGUAGCCUCCACCGCCAUGGCAAGGAGGGCUGUCUCCCACCGUCUGUCGCACCGUUGUCGUUCAUGAGCUCUCCAACCUCUGUUCACUCCAACUCCUCUCAACUCUCACUCUCACAAGAAACCCUAGCUUACAGUAGCUUCCGUCCUCGUCUGGUCGUCGUCGUCGUGCUCCAAGUCUUCAACUCCUCUCCUCAUUCACCAAUCGCAGCUUCUUUCUCAUUCUCCGAAAAACAGCUGCAGCGGCAAGAGGAAGAGGAGGAAGGCGCCAGAGAGUUUAAUGUAACAGGAAUGGAAGUGAUGUCCUCACUCUCAUUCACUCUCUCUUCCAAUUCUGCACCAAAUUGGUUUUUUCAUUUUCCCCUAACAGAUUCUUUUUCCAACAACUUCACUUUCAAAACUUCACCUAGGGUUCCACUUUGCUCUGCCUCUUAGGGUUCACGGAUGUUGACGUGUAACCACUUAUUGUCACCGGAUUCGUACAAUUUUAUUGUGGAGGGGCAUAUACGAAAGAUGGCAUUCCGAUACGCAUACAUUUUACCUUCCGGUUGGUGAGUGUGUCGUCACAUUAGAAGACGUGGCUGUGAUACUUGGUCUUUCGAUUAAUGGUCUUCCAGUUAAAGGAGUGACAGUAAGUAGUUUCGAUGCCCUAGAAGUUGAAUGCUGAUCAGUUUGGGGUGGCACCUAGGAAGGCGGAUUGCAGAGAUAAUUUUAUAAAGUUGACGUGGUUAUAGAAUCUGAAAGACCGUUUAGUCUUAAAUGAUGAAAUUAAAAUUCAAAAGUACGUAAAGUGCCACAUCAUGUUGUUAUUCAGGACGAUCCUGUUUAGAGACAAGUAUGGGACAGCGGCACACUAGAAAUUUUUUCCUUUGCUGCGGGACUUGACUAUUAUCAAUGAAUUCAGUUGGUGAUCGGCUUGCCUGGCACACUUGUUAUAGAUCUCUUUGUAGUGCAUCUCAUUUUCGACUAUAAGGAAGUCGAUGGUCCACUAACACUUUUGCUAAUUUGGGCAUGGAUCCAUUUACCAUUCUUGUGUCGAUUCCUGUCAAUCGUUGACUUUUUUCACUUACAAACAGGUAAAAUUAUCUAAGAACAACUUCAGCUAUGUGCUAUCACCGUAUCUUAAUGUUUUAAUUUAGGGUUUGUUAACAAAAUAAAUGAUAUCUGGUGGCAUAAUUGGGAAUGUACUGACUGACCAUGUAGAUUUCAUUCUCUUGCUCACUUUAAGAGGUCGUUAGAUGAACUACAAGAAGGACAAGUAUGUUUUCAUGAUACAAGUCUCUGUGUUUGGUAUGACCUUGUUAUUAACAAGUGCUUAUUUAUGUGUUUCUAUUAUGUAUACAGUUUGUGUGGGAGGCUUAUGGUGUUGGUCUAAUUGAGCCAGACGUGAUUCUGGUAGACAUCCGUCAGCAUUCAAUAGUGUAGAGUGCUUUAGUACCGUUGAUAUCAUUUGAAUGCAUUAAGUGAUAUGCAACUGACAGGUAUAGGCGACAGUUUGGUUUAAUCCAAGGCAUUCCUCAUCAAGAACGGAAUCUAGACCGAGCACACGAGGAAUUCCUGAAUAACCCUAAAAAUCUUGACUGGUCCUCCGAAUAUUCAUUCUAGGUAUUGCAAUGGAUGAACUGGUUUAGUCAUGUUCUUGCUGAUCUUUCCGUGCAGGCACUGCAUCCCCUAGAGCUUUACAUGUACUAGUACUGCAGAAAAUAUGGCCACCACUUGAACUUGUCAAUUCUUAUGGAGUAGGAUAACUAAGAGGACAAUUCGGUAGGUAAUAAUGAGAAUUAAGUGCCACAGACACCUUCACCACCACAGUC